rnacentral:rRNA from 1 species
UACGUAGGGUGCGAGCGUUAAUCGGAAUUACUGGGCGUAAAGCGUGCGCAGGCGGUUCGUUGUGUCGGCGGUGAAAGCCCCGGGCUUAACCUGGGAAUGGCCGUUGAAACUGGCGAACUGGAGUGUGGCGGAGGGGGGUGGAAUUCCGCGUGUAGCAGUGAAAUGCGUAGAGAUGCGGAGGAACACCGAUGGCGAAGGCAGCCCCCUGGGCUGACACUGACGCUCAGGCACGAAAGCGUGGGGAGCAAACAGG